rnacentral:tRNA from 1 species
AGCAGGGUGGCUCAAUGGGAAGAGCCCGGGCUUGGGAGUCGGAGGUCAUGUGUUCGAAUCCCAGCUCUGCCA